AAAGAACGCUGGCGGCAUGCCUAACACAUGCAAGUCGAACGAAUGAAUUGAAAUUCGGUUUUAAAUUCGUUAGUGGCAAACGGGUGAGUAACACGUAGGAAUCUACCCUUAUAGUAUGGGAUAACAGUUGGAAACGACUGCUAAUACCGUAUACGCUCUUCGGAGGAAAGAUUUAUCGCUAUAAGAUGAGCCUGCGCUAGAUUAGAUAGUUGGUGGGGUAAUGGCCUACCAAGUCAAUGAUCUAUAGCUGGUCUGAGAGGACGAUCAGCCACACUGGGACUGAGACACGGCCCAGACUCCUACGGGAGGCAGCAGUGGGGAAUAUUGGACAAUGGGCGCAAGCCUGAUCCAGCAAUGCCGCGUGAAUGAUGAAGGCCUUCGGGUUGUAAAGUUCUUCAGUGGGGAAGAUAAUGACGGUACCCACAGAAGAAGCUCCGGCUAACUCCGUG
rnacentral:rRNA from 1 species